AAUUCCUUGUCGGGUAAGUUCCGACCUGCACGAAUGGUGUAACGAUCUGGGCACUGUCUCAACCAUGAGCUCGGUGAAAUUGUAGUCUCGGUGAAGAUGCCGGGUACCCGCAACGGGACGAAAAGACCCCGUGCACCUUUACUAUAGCUUCGCAUUGAAUUUGGGUAAAUGAUGUGUAGGAUAGGUGGGAGACGUUGAUGCGGCCACGCUAGUGGUGGUGGAGUCGUUGUUGAAAUACCACUCUGAUCGUAUUGGAUACCUCAACCUCGGACCAUGAUCUGGUUCAGGGACAGUGCCUGAUGGGU
rnacentral:rRNA from 1 species